UACGAAGGGGGCUAGCGUUGUUCGGAAUUACUGGGCGUAAAGCGCACGUAGGCGGAUAUUUAAGUCAGGGGUGAAAUCCCGGGGCUCAACCCCGGAACUGCCCUUGAAACUGGAGAGCUAGAAUCUUGGAGAGGCGAGUGGAAUUCCGAGUGUAGAGGUGAAAUUCGUAGAUAUUCGGAAGAACACCAGUGGCGAAGGCGACUCGCUGGACAAGUAUUGACGCUGAGGUGCGAAAGCGUGGGGAGCAAACAGG
rnacentral:rRNA from 1 species